UACGUAGGGGGCGAGCGUCGUCCGGAAUCAUUGGGCGUAAAGCGCGUGUAGGCGGUCCGGUAAGUCCGCUGUGAAAGUCGGGGGCUCAACCCUCGGAUGCCGGUGGAUACUGUCGGGCUUGAGUACGGAAGAGGCGAGUGGAAUUCCUGGUGUAGCGGUGAAAUGCGCAGAUAUCAGGAGGAACACCAAUUGCGAAGGCAGCUCGCUGGGACGUUACUGACGCUGAGACGCGAAAGCGUGGGGAGCAAACAGG
rnacentral:rRNA from 1 species